GGACGGGUGAGUAAUGUCUGGGAAACUGCCUGAUGGAGGGGGAUAACUACUGGAAACGGUAGCUAAUACCGCAUAACGUCGCAAGACCAAAGAGGGGGACCUUCGGGCCUCUUGCCAUCGGAUGUGCCCAGAUGGGAUUAGCUAGUAGGUGGGGUAAAGGCUCACCUAGGCGACGAUCCCUAGCUGGUCUGAGAGGAUGACCAGCCACACUGGAACUGAGACACGGUCCAGACUCCUACGGGAGGCAGCAGUGGGGAAUAUUGCACAAUGGGCGCAAGCCUGAUGCAGCCAUGCCGCGUGUAUGAAGAAGGCCUUCGGGUUGUAAAGUACUUUCAGCGGGGAGGAAGGGAGUAAAGUUAAUACCUUUGCUCAUUGACGUUACCCGCAGAAGAAGCACCGGCUAACUCCGUGCCAGCAGCCGCGGUAAUACGGAGGGUGCAAGCGUUAAUCGGAAUUACUGGGCGUAAAGCGCACGCAGGCGGUUUGUUAAGUCAGAUGUGAAAUCCCCGGGCUCAACCUGGGAACUGCAUCUGAUACUGGCAAGCUUGAGUCUCGUAGAGGGGGGUAGAAUUCAAGGUGUAACGGUGAAAUGCGUA
rnacentral:rRNA from 1 species